CCCCUUUCCGUGUGAACUGCGGAGGGAUCAUUA
rnacentral:rRNA from 1 species